rnacentral:rRNA from 1 species
AUAUUGGUCAAUGGAGGAAACUCUGACGCAGCGACGCCGCGUGAGCGAUGAAGGUNUUNNGAUCGNANAGCUCUGUCCUCAGGNNNNNAGAAAGUGACGGUACCUGAGGAGGAAGCCCCGGCUAACUACGUGCCAGCAGCCGCGGUAAUACGUAGGGGGCAAGCGUUGUCCGGAAUUAUUGGGCGUAAAGGGUGCGUAGGCGGCUUUUUAAGUCAGAUGUGAAAGACCACAGCUUAACUGUGGGGUUGCAUUUGAAACUGGAGAGCUUGAGUAUCGGAGAGGGUAGUGGAAUUCCUGGAGUAGCGGUGAAAUGCGUAGAUAUCAGGAGGAACACCAGUGGCGAAGGCGACUACCUGGACGAAAACUGACGCUGAGGCACGAAAGCGUGGGGAGCAAACAG